rnacentral:rRNA from 1 species
AUUGAACGCUGGCGGCAGGCUUAACACAUGCAAGUCGAGCGGGGUGAUGGUGCUUGCACUAUCACUUAGCGGCGGACGGGUGAGUAAUGCUUAGGAAUCUGCCUAUUAGUGGGGGACAACAUCUCGAAAGGGAUGCUAAUACCGCAUACGUCCUACGGGAGAAAGCAGGGGAUCACUUGUGACCUUGCGCUAAUAGAUGAGCCUAAGUCGGAUUAGCUAGUUGGUGGGGUAAAGGCCUACCAAGGCGACGAUCUGUAGCGGGUCUGAGAGGAUGAUCGGCCACACUGGGACUGAGACACGGCCCAGACUCCUACGGGAGGCAGCAGUGGGGAAUAUUGGACAAUGGGGGGAAUCCUGAUCCAGCCAUGCCGCGUGUGUGAAGAAGGCCUUAUGAUUGUAAAGCACUUUAAGCGAGGAGGAGGCUCUUUUGGUUAAUACCCAAGAUGAGCGGACGUUACUCGCAGAAUAAGCACCGGCUAACUCUGUGCCAGCAGCCGCGGUAA